GCGAGCUGUGAACUGAUGUUGGGAGUCAAAUGUACACGCGUAUACGUCGAGGAGAGAGAGAGAGCCCAGACACCAUCACUUUCACCGAGAUAAACGGAAAAACUCGAACUAUAUAUUGAGAAAAGCUUUAAAAGCUCGAGGGCUCGAACUAUUGAGAAAAGCUUUUAAAGCUCGAGAAACUUUUGUGAGGGAAAGCUCUAAAGUUACGGAGAACUUUCGAUUCAAACCUGACAAGCGUCGCGACCACCUUCCUGGACGCCUGCGCAUAAUUGUUUUUCUCUGUGCACAUUUGGCAUAGGACAGUCUUCGGGACGAACCAAUGGAAUCCGAACGUGACGCAACACACGCACCUGACCAUGCAAUGGGCGGCCGACAGGACAAACCUAGGCGCAACAUAAGUGCCUCCGCACGAGUGGCUAGAGUAUC